AGGAGGGAGGAGAUGGGCCAAG
rnacentral:miRNA from 1 species